AGCGAACGCUGGCGGCAGGCCUAACACAUGCAAGUCGAACGGAUCCUUCGGGAUUAGUGGCGGACGGGUGAGUAACACGUGGGAACGUGCCCUUGGGUUCGGAACAACUCAGGGAAACUUGAGCUAAUACCGGAUGUGCCCUUCGGGGGUAAGAUCUAUCGCCAUUGGAGCGGCCCGCGUCUGAUUAGCUAGUUGGUGAGGUAACGGCCCACCAAGGCGACGAUCAGUAGCUGGUCUGAGAGGAUGAUCAGCCACACUGGGACUGAGACACGGCCCAGACUCCUACGGGAGGCAGCAGUGGGGAAUCUUGCGCAAUGGGCGAAAGACUGACGCAGCCAUGCCGCGUGAAUGAUGAAGGUCUUAGGAUUGUCAAAUUCUUUCAGCGGGGACGAUAAUGACGGUACCCGCAGAAGAAGCUCCGGCUAACUUCGUG
rnacentral:rRNA from 1 species